GGGGAUGAUGGGAAUCGAUAAAGAAAUCGCACUUUUACAAAAGGUGAGAGCGGAUCUAUCCGAUAACUAGAAAACCAUAGCUGAUAAAGAUUCAUCUUUAACAGCGGAAGAAAGUUAUUUCUUGGCUAACAGGGGCGCUUUCGUUCCUGCUUUUGCCCAGGUUUAUAACUGACCUUCCCUCUAACCGAGCGUUUUGUCCGAUUCAACAUAGGUUAGGGUAAACCAAUCGGAAUAAAGCCGAUAAAGAUUUCUGGUUGCUUUAUUGGUUGACAACUUUUAACCGGCUGUCUUGGAUUAAGUUUGAUUGUUUUCUUACCAAGACAAAAGUUAAAAACAAUCUAUCUCUCACUAAACUUUUUUAAAGGUGUUUCUUUAGACCCGGGUUCAACUCCCGGCAUCUCCACAC
rnacentral:tmRNA from 1 species